rnacentral:rRNA from 1 species
UACAGAGGGUGCAAGCGUUGUUCGGAAUUAUUGGGCGUAAAGCGCGUGUAGGCGGUUAUCUAAGUCUGGUGUGAAAGCCCGAAGCUUAACUUCGGAAGUGCACUGGAUACUGGAUAACUAGAGGGCGAGAGGGGGAAAUGGAAUUCCUGGUGUAGGGGUGAAAUCCGUAGAUAUCAGGAGGAACAUCAGUGGCGAAGGCGAUUUCCUGGCUCGUUUCUGACGCUCAGACGCGAAAGCGUGGGUAGCAAACAGG